rnacentral:misc_RNA from 1 species
CUAGAGGGUUUUUCUAUCUAUUUCUAGGUAUUUGAUAAAGAAUUUUGGGGGUAUCUAGCUUCUCUCAUUUUGAACUUUUUAAUAUAAAAGACAGGUAUGAAACCUUUGAUGUAACAAAAUAUAACCAUAACCACUAAGUAGGUGACAAGGAGUGAUAAGAAGGCUCUCCAAGUUCUCCAUCUAUCUACAAGGAAUAGCUAAAUCCUGAAUUUGG